GAAGAUUCUGGAAUCAAGAAA
rnacentral:snRNA from 1 species